rnacentral:rRNA from 1 species
AUUGAACGCUGGCGGCAUGCUUUACACAUGCAAGUCGGACGAGUGGCGUACGGGUGAGUAAUAUAUUGGAACGUACCGAAUCGUGGGGGAAAACCAAUCGAAAACGUGGCUAAUACCGCAUAUAAUUCGAACGGCCAAUAUCUGAUUAGCUAGUUGGUGGGGUAAAGGCCUACCAAGGCGACGAUCAGUAGCGGGUCUGAGAGGAUGAUCCGCCACACUGGGACUGAGAAACGGCCCAGACUCCUACGGGAGGCAGCAGUGGGGAAUGUUGGACAAUGGGUGAAAGCCUGAUCCAGCCAUGCCGCGUGGCUGAAGAAGUCCUUCGGGUUUUAAAGGACGUUUGGUAAGGAAGCGGUACCUAAAUAAUAAGCACCGGCUAACUACGUGCCAGCAGCCGCGGUAAUAC